rnacentral:misc_RNA from 1 species
GUAGGUGAACCUGCGGAAGGAUCAUCAUUGAAAAAAAAAAAUUUAAAAAAAAUUAAAAGAAUUAUACUUUUUUCUUUUUUUUUUAUAUUUUUUUUUUAGAUCAACAUCUCCUUAUUUAUACUUCCCAUGUGUGAACUUUUAAUUUUUUUUUUAUUUUAUUUUUUUAUUUUUUUAAAAAUAAAGAAAUAAAAUAAAGAAAUAUUUUUAUUACUACCUUUUUUUUUAAUAAAAUAAUCUCAGUGAAAAAAAA